GCGGCCACGCCGUUAAACCCCAACUUCUGAAUGUUGACCUCGGAUCAGGUAGGAAUACCCGCUGAACUUAAGCAUAUC
rnacentral:rRNA from 1 species